AUUGAACGCUGGCGGCAGGCCUAACACAUGCAAGUCGAGCGGAUGAAGGGAGCUUGCUCCUGGAUUCAGCGGCGGACGGGUGAGUAAUGCCUAGGAAUCUGCCUUGUAGUUGGGGAUAACGUCCGGAAACGGGCGCUAAUACCGCAUACGUCCUGAGGGAGAAAGUGGGGGAUCUUCGGACCGCACGCUAUCAGAUGAGCCUAGGUCGGAUUAGCUAGUUGGUGGGGUAAAGGCCUAACAAGGCUACGAUCCGUAACUGGUCUGAGAGGAUGAUCAGUCACACUGGAACUGAGACACGGUCCAGACUCCUACGGGAGGCAGCAGUGGGGAAUAUUGGACAAUGAGCGAAAGCCUGAUCCAGCCAUGCCGCGUGUGUGAAGAAGGUCUUCGGAUUGUAAAGCACUUUAAGUUGGAAGGAAGGGCAGUAAGUUAAUACCUUGCUGUUUUGACGUUACCAACAGAAUAAGCACCGGCUAACUUCGUG
rnacentral:rRNA from 1 species